GGUUAGGCCGGGAACUCAAAGGAGACUGCCAGUGAUAAACUGGAGGAAGGUGGGGAUGACGUCAAGUCAUCAUGGCCCUUACGAGUAGGGCUACACACGUGCUACAAUGGCGCAUACAAAGAGAAGCGACCUCGCGAGAGCAAGCGGACCUCAUAAAGUGCGUCGUAGUCCGGAUUGGAGUCUGCAACUCGACUCCAUGAAGUCGGAAUCGCUAGUAAUCGUAGAUCAGAAUGCUACGGUGAAUACGUUCCCGGGCCUUGUACACACCGCCCGUCACACCAUGGGAGUGGGUUGCAAAAGAAGUAGGUAGCUUAACCUUCGGGAGGGCGCUUACCACUUUGUGAUUCAUGACUGGGGUGAAGUCGUAACAAGGUAACCAAGGGCGAAUUCCAG
rnacentral:rRNA from 1 species